AUGAUGAUACUUCACUUCUGACUUUGAUGAAACCAUCAACCACUCUCUGAAUACAUUGGAUAUUUAAAUUAAUCGAAAUUCCAUCUAAAUAGUGAUUGUCUUUUCUUCUAAUUGUAAACUAAUUCCUUGUAAAAUUGUAUCAAAAAUGUCUACUACUGAAUUUCUGAAGGGCCUCCUGUUUAUAAUGCAAAUAAUUUUAGUCGAUUUCAAGCAGACUCAUUUAAAUCGUCUUCUAAAACCUUCGGUUUAUCUUCCAACGAAAGAUUUUCCAUCUGAACAGACCAUUACCACAGAAGGAAGCAACAUAUUUUUACGAUUUUUACACCAACAAUGGGACAAAAGUACAUCAAGAAAUUUGAAAAAGCGUGAUAGUAAUGGCGACCAAGAAACUGGAAUCACCAGGAAAAAGCUAAAGACAGAGAC